GACGAACGCUGGCGGCGUGCUUAACACAUGCAAGUCGAACGGUAAGGCCCUUCGGGGUACACGAGUGGCGAACGGGUGAGUAACACGUGGGUGAUCUGCCCUGCACUUCGGGAUAAGCCUGGGAAACUGGGUCUAAUACCGGAUAGGACCACUGCCUGCAUGGGUGGUGGUGGAAAGCUUUUGCGGUGUGGGAUGGGCCCGCGGCCUAUCAGCUUGGUGGUGGGGGUAUGGCCUACCAAGGCGACGACGGGUAGCCGGCCUGAGAGGGUGACCGGCCACACUGGGACUGAGAUACGGCCCAGACUCCUACGGGAGGCAGCAGUGGGGAAUAUUGCACAGUGGGCGCAAGCCUGAUGCAGCGACGCCGCGUGAGGGAUGACGGCCUUCGGGUUGUAAACCUCUUUCAGCACCGACGAAGCGCAAGUGACGGUAGGUGCAGAAGAAGGACCGGCCAACUACGUGCCAGCCGCCGCAGUAA
rnacentral:rRNA from 1 species